GAGGGCACAGCUCAGUGGUAGAGCAUGUGCUUAGCGUGCACGAGGUCCUGGGUUCAAUUCCCAGUACCUCCA
rnacentral:tRNA from 1 species